rnacentral:SRP_RNA from 1 species
GCUGUGCAUUGUGGCGCAUGCCUAUAGUCCCAGCUACUCGGGAGGCUGAGGCUGGAGGAUCGCUUGAGCCCAGGAGUUCUGGGCUGUCGUGCGCUAUGCCGAUCGGGUGUCCGCACUAAGUUCAGCAUUAACAUGGUGACCUCCUGGGAAACGGGUGACCGCCAGGUAGCCUAAGGAGAGGUAAACCAGCCCAGGUCAGAAACGGAGCAGGUUAAAACUCCUGUGCUGAUCAGUAAUGGGAUCGUGCCUCUGAAUAGCCACUGCACUCCAGCCUGGGCAACAUAGAGAGACUCCAUCUCU